UACGAGGGGUGCAAGCGUUGCUCGGAAUUAUUGGGCGUAAAGGGUAGGUAGGUGGUCUUAUUUGUCUGGGGUGAAAGCCUUGAGCUUAACUCAAGAAGUGCCCCAGAAACGGUAAGACUAGAGUCCUGGAGAGGGUCGUGGAAUUCCCGGUGUAGCGGUGAAAUGCGUAGAGAUCGGGAGGAACACCAGAGGCGAAGGCGGCGACCUGGACAGGUACUGACACUCAACUACGAAAGCGUGGGGAGCAAACAGG
rnacentral:rRNA from 1 species